rnacentral:rRNA from 1 species
UACAGAGGUCUCAAGCGUUGUUCGGAUUCAUUGGGCGUAAAGGGUGCGUAGGUGGUGAUGCAAGUCUGGUGUGAAAUCUUGGAGCUUAACUCCGAAGCUGCAUUCGAUACUGCCGUGCUUGAGGACUGGAGAGGAGACUGGAAUUUACGGUGUAGCGGUGAAAUGCGUAGAUAUCGUAAGGAAGACCAGUGGCGAAGGCGGGUCUCUGGACAGUUCCUGACGCUGAGGCACGAAGGCCAGGGGAGCAAACGGGG